ACAUGCCUACAACAUAGCGUUAAUGCACUAGAUCCCAUUAGAACUCCGCAGUUAAGUGCGCUCAUGAUAGAAUAGUACUAGGAUGAGUGACCGCCUGGGAAGUCCUAGUAUUUUACAUGCC
rfam:Picea glauca, whole genome shotgun sequence.